rnacentral:rRNA from 1 species
CCUACGGGUGGCAGCAGUGGGGAAUAUUGCACAAUGGGGGAAACCCUGAUGCAGCGACGCCGCGUGAGUGAAGAAGUAUUUCGGUAUGUAAAGCUCUAUCAGCAGGGAAGAAAAUGACGGUACCUGAUUAAGAAGCCCCGGCUAACUACGUGCCAGCAGCCGCGGUACUACGUAGGGGGCAAGCGUGAUCCGGAUUUACUGGGUGCAAAGGGAGCGUAGACGGUAGCGCAAGUCUGAAGUGAAAUGCCUGGGCUUAACCCCGGAACUGCUUUGGAAACUGUGCAGCUAGAGUGCAGGAGAGGUAAGUGGAAUUCCUAGUGUAGCGGUGAAAUGCGUAGAGAUUAGGAGGAACACCAGUGGCGAAGGCGGCUUACUGGACUGUAACUGACGUUGAGGCUCGAAAGCGUGGGGAGCAAACAGGAUUAGAUACCCGUGUAGUC